rnacentral:rRNA from 1 species
GAUCCUGGCUCAGAAUCAACGCUGGCGGCGUGCCUAACACAUGCAAGUCGAACGAGAAAGUGGAGCAAUCCAUGAGUAAAGUGGCGACCGGGUGAGUAACACGUGACCAAUCUGCCCUCGAGUGGGGGAUAACUCCGGGAAACCGGGGCUAAUACCGCAUAACAUCUUCGGAACGUCGGUUCUGGGGAUCAAAGGAGCAAUUCGCUUGAGGGGGGGGUCGCGGCUGAUUAGCUAGUUGGCGGGGUAAUGGCCCACCAAGGCGAAGAUCGGUAGCCGGCCUGAGAGGGCGCACGGCCACACUGGAACUGAAACACGGUCCAGACUCCUACGGGAGGCA